CAUGAUAACCGUGUGUCUGGCAAACUGAGAAAGCAUCACAUACUGUAUGCUGAUGGGAAAGUGUACCCGAGUUCUGAUCAUUUCGAUUUUGACAUGUCUCUCUCAGAUUCCUCAGGUGAAACUGCAGCAGAGCUGUAUGAACACUGACCACUGCACAAGUAUAAGUGGGAUCCAUCUCUGGUACAUUUGG